rnacentral:rRNA from 1 species
UACGAAGGGGGCUAGCGUUGCUCGGAAUCACUGGGCGUAAAGGGUGCGUAGGCGGGUCUUUUUAAGUCAGGGGUGAAAUCCUGGAGCUCAACUCCAGAACUGCCUUUGAUACUGAGGAUCUUGAGUUCGGGAGAGGUGAGUGGAACUGCGAGUGUAGAGGUGAAAUUCGUAGAUAUCAAGCGGAACACCGGUGGCGAAGGCGGCCUCUGGACAGUGACUGACGCUGAGACGGCGAAGGCAUGGGGAGCGAACGGGG